CCUUCCUUCCUUCCUUCCUUCCUUCCUUCCUUCCUUCCUUCCUUCCUACCAUGUGAGGGCACAGUACGAAGGGGGCCAUCUACAAGCAGGAAGAGCUGUAUCCUGCAGAAACUUGAUCUGGGACAUCCAGCUUCCAGAACUGGUGGAAAAUAAAUGUCUGCUUUCUGAGCCACUGAACCUGUGGUGUUCUGUUAUGGUGGCCCCCUCGCUGACUGAGACAGCUAAGUUCCGACAGUGCCUUGCUGAACGCCUUAGAGGCUGAGGCAAAAGGGCUAUACACGAGAUUUCAUGUUAUUUUUUUUUAACGGUUAACUUUUCCCACGACACUAAAGGUGUUAAAAAGGUAGAAGUUUGCUUCCAUAAAGCCAGGAAGAUAAAAUUAUCAUUAGUUCUGUUGUUGGUAUAAUUAAGGUACUAAUUGGUAUUCAAAUAGUGUUAGACAUUUCCAUACCUAUAUACUCCAAUUUCCCAAUAGUUCUGUCAGCACUUUAAUAUUCUGUCAGUAAAAAUCCAACCACCAGAAGUAUACGCUACCAUUUAUACAGGGCGACGCGUUCUUCCUUUUGCCUCGGGCACCAAGAUGGCUCGGAAGGAUACUGCUCAGAACCCAAGAGAAGAUUCUUCUGAAGUUUCUUCUGCUGCCAUUUUACUUUUCCUUACUACUCAGAUUUAUCUGGAAUCAAGCAGCGACCAGAUCUUUUUUUGUUUUUGUUUUUGUUUUUUUUCCUAUCCCUGUUGACCGGAGAAAGGAGUUCUGUGACCGGACCCUCAGAAGCCUCUGGAUUUCUCAUCUUUUUUCACAGGACCUUAAUCACGGAGGCUUAGGUUGUACACACAGUACAGUUUAUGAGUUAGCGUGUGGCCGUUCUGGCUCCAGGGAUGAUCCGUGGGCGGAACCAAGGCUCAAUGUGCUGCGUACCAGACACAUCCGUACCUGGGUAUGCUCCUGGCUGGGCACGGCGCUCAGACCGGUCGCGGCCAUAUACGUGCUGCCGAUGGUCUUGAUCUUUUCAACUCCACUGAAUUUCGGCUUGGACAGCAGCUGUGAAGCAAUGACAACUGUUCAGUUACUCAGUUGGGUGCAGUGUCUAAAGACAUUCUCCAGUUCUAGUUCACGGCAAUAGGAAUAUGAACGAUUCCAACCGCUGCUUAUUCACAUUGCGACCUCGGGCUUUGCUGAGAAAGAACGCUUUAUACACUCCACGAAGAGCGUUGUCCUUGGAAGGAACUGCAGCAUAAUGAUAUGCUUCCAAUUAGCAUGAAUUACCUUUUAAUCUGCUAGGGAAGGAACCGGGAUAAAUUAUGAUGCAAGUGAUAACAGUCUCAAAUAAAUUUCCCAUCUCUGUGUUUAAAAGGCCAAACACAAAAGUAUGAUUCAGUGAGGGAGGUCUUCCCUGCAUGGUGAGGGUGAUUUAUGACCACUUAUGGUGCCGAGAAUUGGCUUUUGCCUCUGAGCUCUAGAUGUAAAGGGAAUAAUUAUCUAGGAUGGCUCUCCCCAUCAGCUCUGACCCUAACACUUCUUGUCCCAGUUUCUGGUACCAGUUAGUUACCAGCUCCCACUGCCUCCUCCCCGGCCAAGUACAUUAGGACUUGGGUUGGGAUGGAGAAAAUGUGAAAAUAAGAGCAGAGGCUAUAGGAAAGAGAACGAAGGGGUGAGAGAGGAAGGGAAGGAGACUCUGGAAGGUUCUUUAUCUGCUCAUGAGGCCAAAGGCACCAACUGAAGGCUGGGGACAUCUUCCUGACCUUUUGUCGGCACUCCUGCUUUCAAAAGGGAUUCUUUCAAGAUUCCAUGUCAGAGGGUCUAAGGCAGGUUAGGAGAUGCCUGUACCUCAUAUCCAUGAGCCAAUCCAACCCCAAAUAGCCCUGCCACUCACCCACCCGUACUGGCGAGCAUUUAUUUCACUGAGGGGCAGCUGUAGCCAAUAGGCCACUGUUUCUCACCAGGAACCUGGCAUAACCAUGGGAAGCACUAGUUGUCAUUACUUCGCCAUAAGUCUUGAGUCAAUCUCAUGCUGACAAUGGUGAUAACAGAGAAAUGCACAGGUCACACACGACAUUUAGAAGCUUGGCCUGCAAACAUCACGUUACGUAAAUAAUUUCGUCACGGUAUUUCGAAGUUCCAUGAAUCCCGAUGAACCUCUGUUCACGGAUGUCAACUUUGCUAUAGUUUGCUUGAUAUUUAUAAGAACGAUGUAGCAGCAACAUCCUUAAAACCACUGGUGUGUUUGUUCUUAUCAGCAAACAAAACACGUUAUUCUCCAUGUAGGCAGAAUAUUGAAAAUUGAAAAAUGAUACGUAUUUCAAAUUACGAAACAUAUACUGUGUCCCUUCUCAAAUAUAUUAUCCCUCAUCCAUAUUGCUUUUUCAAUAAUAGAGCGUAUCAUCCCUGCACAGUUCAAGUUGAUAUCUGACCUUGGAGUAUGCCGAGAUAGACACGCCAGUCAUCUACUAUGAUAAAUACAUUCAUUAUUUCUUUUUGUAUCAACCGAUAAGCAAGUAUUUUCCUUGGAGUUCAAGCCUUUUGAGAAAAUCCGCCAGCAAACUGGAAAGACGUUUUAUUGAUACCGAUUGUGGUACUGGUUCCUAGGGAACACACUACCUCACAAAUAAAAUACAUCAUUUCUCCAAAAUUCGUCAAGGACCAUAACAGAGCAAAAGGCUUUACUUUUCGUCCAGCCACCAAUAAUUACACCAGGAGACGUGCAUUAAGACACGCCACAGGAUGGGACUAGCUUCAGACGGGAUGGCCACCAGAAUGCCGAAGUGUGGGACGGGGGCCACCCUGGCCUGUCAGGGGUAACUCUCGGGUACCUACAUCAUCAAAGUCGGCGAUGAUCUCGUUCAGGAGCCGAAGGCAUUCCAAGCCCUCCUUGUUCACAUCCGAUUCUGUGUAGAAUUCCUUGAAAUCCGGAAUGGAAGCAAACAUGACA